rnacentral:rRNA from 1 species
AACGAACGCUGGCGGCAUGCCUAACACAUGCAAGUCGAACGGGAACGCCGGGUUUAGAGGCGAACGGGUGGGUAAAGCGGGGGAAAAUGCCCGGAGGUUCGGAAUAACACCCCGAAAGAAGUGCGAAUAACGGGGAAUGUUAUCGGACAUAAGAUUUAUCGGCUUUGGAGGGGCCCGCGUUGGUUUAGCUAGUUGGUAGGGUACAAGCUUACCAAGGCGACGAGCCGUAGCUGGUUUGAGAGGAUGAUCAGCCACACUGGGACUGAGCCCCGGCCCCGACUCCUACGGGAGGCAGCGGUUGUGAAUAUUGGACAAUGGGCGAGAUCCUGAUCCAGCGCUGCCGCGUGAGUGAUGAACGCCUUAUGGUUGUCUAGCUCUUUUACCCGGGAUGAUAAUGACGGUACCGGGAGAAUAAGCUCCGGCUAACUCCGUG